rnacentral:tRNA from 1 species
AAGAGAAAGUGGUUACUAAAAGGAGCUGCUAACUACCUUUUAAAGCGGUUAAACCCCGUUUUUCUCUUA